AUUGAACGCUGGCGGCAGGCUUAACACAUGCAAGUCGAGCGGGGGAGGUUGCUUCGGUAACUGACCUAGCGGCGGACGGGUGAGUAAUGCUUAGGAAUCUGCCUAUUAGUGGGGGACAACAUUCCGAAAGGGAUGCUAAUACCGCAUACGCCCUACGGGGGAAAGCAGGGGAUCUUCGGACCUCGCGCUAAUAGAUGAGCCUAAGUCGGAUUAGCUAGUUGGUGGGGUAAAGGCCUACCAAGGCGACGAUCUGUAGCGGGUCUGGGAGGAUGAUCCGCCACACUGGGACUGAGACACGGCCCAGACUCCUACGGGAGGCAGCAGUGGGGAAUAUUGGACAAUGGGCGGAAGCCUGAUCCAGCCAUGCCGCGUGUGUGAAGAAGGCCUUUUGGUUGUAAAGCACUUUAAGCGAGGAGGAGGCUCUUAAGGUUAAUACCCUUGAUGAGUGGACGUUACUCGCAGAAUAAGCACCGGCUAACUCUGUGCCAGCAGCCGCGGUAAGAC
rnacentral:rRNA from 1 species